rnacentral:tRNA from 1 species
AGGUGGGGAGUCAAGAGAGGAAAGGUCGUUUAUUUUUUCAUACUGCCUAUGAAAAAUCUACCUUGACAUGGUGGGGGUCGUUGGUUCGAAUCCAAUCGCGCCUACCA